UCGAGGAUCUUCGGCAAUGGGCGCAAGCCUGACCGAGCGACGCCGCGUGCGCGAUGAAGGCCUUCGGGUUGUAAAGCGCUGUCGGGGGGGAGGAAGCUCCGCAAGGGGUUGACCUAUCCCCGGAGGAAGCACGGGCUAAGUUCGUGCCAGCAGCCGCGGUAAGACGAACCGUGCGAACGUUGUUCGGAAUCACUGGGCUUAAAGGGCGCGUAGGCGGACCGCCAAGUCCGGGGUGAAAUCUUUCGGCCCAACCGGAAAAGUGCCUUGGAUACUGGCGGCCUUGAGCGAGGUAGGGGCAGCUGGAACUUCCGGUGGAGCGGUGAAAUGCGUUGAUAUCGGAAGGAACGCCGGUGGCGAAAGCGAGCUGCUGGACCUUUUCUGACGCUGAGGCGCGAAAGCCAGGGGAGCGAACGGGAUUAGAUACCCGCGUAGUCC
rnacentral:rRNA from 1 species